rnacentral:tRNA from 1 species
GUCCGCGUAGAGUAGUGGUCAUCUCGCCAGAAUCACACUCUGGAUAUCGUCGGUUCGAACCCGACCGCGGGCA